UACAAUACCGUGUCCAUUCAUUCAGCAUAUUACUGACAAUGCGAAGUCCAUUCAUUCAACUUCAUAUUGACGAUACCAAGCCCGUUCAUUCAAAUUAUUACUGAUAAUACCCUAAAUAAAUAAUUGUACUCAUUACACCAGUAUACCUUUAUCCAGGAAUAGAGAAGUGAUCAUGGUUCUAAUAUCUGGAGAAAAACAUAUGUUAGUAUAUGGAGGAAAACAUCCGUUAGACAUGUGUUCUCGUAAACUUCUAGGUGUAAUGGAAUACCCGUGAAUUCUUAUUGUGUUAGAUCAUGUCUUCUGACUAAGGUAGUGACAAUAGGCUGAUCUGAAUCGAGUGACUCAACAUUGGCUUUGUGUCCUCACCUGAAAACAAGAAAAAAUAUCAAAGAUUUAUUUCAAUGUGUAUACGCCCACAACAUUUAACU